GCUUACGGCCACACCUCCCCUGAGCAAUGCCCGAUACUCGUCUGAGUCUCGGAAGCUAAGCAUGGUCGGCCCGGUUAGUACUUGGAUGGGAGACCGCCUGGGAAUACCAGGUGCUGUAAGCC
rnacentral:rRNA from 1 species